rnacentral:rRNA from 1 species
CAGUAGCCGCGGUAAAACGAAGGGUGCAAGCGUUAAUCGGAAUUACUGGGCGUAAAGCGUGCGUAGGCGGUUUGUUAAGUCUGCUGUGAAAUCCCCGGGCUCAACCUGGGAAUGGCAGUGGAUACUGGCAAGCUAGAGUGUGUCAGAGGAUGGUGGAAUUCCCGGUGUAGCGGUGAAAUGCGUAGAGAUCGGGAGGAACAUCAGUGGCGAAGGCGGCCAUCUGGGACAACACUGACGCUGAGGCACGAAAGCGUGGGGAGCAAACAGGAUUAGAUACCCGGGUAGUCCCUGUCUCUUAUAA